rnacentral:rRNA from 1 species
GCUAAGGGCAAGCCUGCCUGUGCAUCAUGCUUUCGACGCUUCGUCGUUGCCCCCUCGGGGUGCGGGGGCGAAUGCGGAGAAUGGCCCCUCGAACCAGGAUCAGCCCAGUUUGAGAAUCGGGCGGCUACGUCGUCUGAAUUAUAGUCUGGAGAAGUUUCCUCGGCGACGGACCUGGCCCAAGUCCCCUGGAAAGGGGCACUGGGGAGGGUGAGAGCCCCGUCCGGCUCGGACCCUAUCACACCACGAGGCACUGUCGACGAGUCAGCCCCAAUCGUGUGGUAAAUUCCAUCCAAGGCUAAAUAUGGGCGAGAGACCGAUAGCGAACAAGUACCGUAAGGGAAAGAUGAAAAGAACUUUGAAAAGAGAGUCAAAGAGUGCUUGAAAUUACUGGGAGGGAAGCAAAUGGGGGCCGGCGAUGCACCUCGGUCGGAUGCGGAACGACGGUUAGCUGGUCCGUCGCUCGGCUCGGGGUGCGGAUCGAUGUGGGCUGCAUCGAAGGCCAAAGCCCGGAUGGAUCGUUCGUUCGAGGGGAUACCAUCGAUGUGGUCGAGGACAUGACACGCGCCAUCGGCGUGCCCCGCGCGGUACACGCGCGACCUAGGCAUCUGCCAGUGGGCUCCCCAUCCGACCCGUCUUGAAACAUGGACCAAGGAGUCUGACAUGCGUGCGAGUCGAUGGGUGCGGAAACCCGGAAGGCAUAAGGAAGCUAAUUGGCAGGAACCCUCUCUAGGGGUUGCACCGCCGGUCAACCCCGAUCUUCUGUGAAGGGUUCGAGUUGGAGCAUGCAUGUCGGGACCCAAAAGAUGGUGAACUAUGCCUGAGCGAGACGAAGCCAGAGGAAACUCUGGUGGAGGCCCAAAGCGAUACUGACAUGCAAAUCAUUCGUCUGACUUGGGUAUAGGGGCGAAAGACUAAUCGAACCAUCUAGUAGCUGGUUCCCUCCGAAGUUUCCCUCGGGAUAGCUGGAGCCCACGUGCGAGUUCUAUUGGGUAAAGCCAUUGACUAAAGGCAUCAGGGGCGCAACGCCCUCGACCUAUUCUCAAACUUUAAAUAGGUAGGAUGGCGCGGCUACUUCGUUGAGCCGCGUCGCAGAAUCGAGAGCUCCAAGUGGGCCAUUUUUGGUAAGCAGAACAGGCGAUGCGGGAUUAACCGGAAGCUGGGUUAUGGUGCCCAACUGUGCACUAACCUAGACACCACCAAGGGUGUUGGUCGAUUAAGAUAGUAGGACGGUGGUCAUGGAAGUCGAAAUCCACUGAGUGUGUAACAACUCACCUGUCGAAUCAACUAGCCCCUAAAAUGGAUGGCGCUGAAGCGCAUGACCCACACCCGACCAUCGGGGCGAGCACCAAGCCCCGAUGAGUAGGAGGGCGCGGCGGUCGCCGCAAAACCCAGGGCACGAGCCUGGGCGAAGCGGCCGUCGGUGUAGAUCUUGGUGGUAGUAGCAAAUAUUCAAAUGAAAACUUUGAAGGCCGAAGAGGGGAAAGGUUCCAUGUGAACGGCACUUGCACAUGGGUUAGCCGAUCCUAAGGGAUGGGGGAAGCCUGUCCGAGAGCGUUUCUCCGUGCGAGCUUCGAAAGGGAAUCGGGUUAAAAUUCUCGAGCCGGGACGCGGUUGCAGACGGCAACGUUAGGAAGUCUGGAGACACCGACGGGAGCCCCGGGAAGAGUUAUCUUUUCUACUUAACGGCCCGCCCGCCCUAGAAACGGGUCAGCCGGACGUAGGGUCCAGUGGUCGGAAGAGUGCCGCACAUCGCACGGCGUCCAGUGUGCCUCCGGCGACCCUUGAAAAUCCGGAGGACCAAGUGCUGCCCGUGCCUGGUCGUACUCAUAACCGCAUCAGGUCUCCAAGGUGAACAGCCUCUGGCCCAUGGAACAAUGUAGGCAAGAGAAGUCGGCAAAACGGAUUCGUAACUUCGAAAAAAAGAUUGGCUUUGAGGGCUGGGCACGGGGGUCCCGGCCCCGAACCCGUCGGCUGUCGGCGGAUUGCUCGAGCUGCUCUCCCAACGAGAGCGGGUCGCUGGGUGCUGGCCAGGGGACGGACCGGGAACGACCCCCUCAGGGGCCUUCCCCGGGCAUCGAACAGGCGACUCAGAACUGUUACAGACAAGGGGAAACUGACUGUUUAAUUAAAACAAAGCAUUGCAAUGGUCCCCACGGAUGCUCACACAAUGUGAUUUCUGCCCAGUGAUAUGAAUGUCAAAGUGAAGAAAUUCAACCAAGCGCAGGUAAACGACGGGAGUAACUAUGACUCUCUUAUGGUAGCCAAAUGCCUCGUCAUCUAAUUAGUGACGCCCAUGAAUGGAUUAACGAGAUUCCCACUGUCCCUAUCUACUAUCUAGCGAAACCACAACCAAGGGAACGGGCUUGGCAGAAUCAGCGGGGAAAGAAGACCCUGUUGAACUUGACUCUAGUCCGACUUUAUGAAAUGACUUGAGAGGUGUAGGAUAAGUGGGAGUCGGUUCGCCGGUGGAAGUGAAAUACCACUAUUUUUAACGUUAUUUUACUUAUUCCGUGAGUCGGAGGCAGGGCCCGGCCCCUCCUUUUGGACCCAAGGCCCGCCUAGCGGGCCGAUCCUGGAGGAAGACAUUGUCAGGUGGGGAGUUUGGCUGGAGCGGCACAUCUGUUAAAAGAUAACGCAGGUGUCCUAAGAUGAGCUCAAUGAGAACAGAAAUCUCGUGUGGAACAAAAGGGUAAAAGCUCAUUUGAUUGUAAUUUCCAGUAUGAAUACGAACCGUGAAAGUGUGGCCUAUCGAUCUUUUAGACCUUCAUAAUUUAAAGCUAGAGGUGUCAGAAAACUUACCAUAGGGAUAACUGGCUUGUGGUAGCCAAGCGUCCAUAGCGAUGUUGCUUUUUGAUCCUUCGAUGUCAGCUCUUCCUAUCAUUGUGAAGUUGAAUUCACCAAGUGUUUGAUUGUUCACCCACCAAUAGGGAACGUGAGCUGGGUUUAGACCGUCGUGAGACAUGUUAGUUUUACCCUACUGAUGAUCGUGCCAUGAUAGUAAUUCAACCUAGUAUGAGAGGAACCAUUGAUUCACACAAUUGGUCAUCGCGCUUGGCAGAAAAGCCAGUGGGGCGAAGCUACCGUGUGUCGGAUUAUGACUGAACGCCUCUAAGUCAGAAUCCUAGCUAGCAAUCGGCGCUCUCGCCCAUCGUUCACCUCCCGACCCACAGUAGGGGCCUUUGGCCCCCUUGGGCUCGUGUCCCUGGUGUAGCCCCCAUGGUGGUAUAGCCACGGGUGGCCAUCGGGAAGUGAAAUUCCCUACGGAUGACGGGCCGAAUCCUUUGCAGA